rnacentral:rRNA from 1 species
CCUACGGGUGGCAGCAGUGAGGAAUAUUGGUCAAUGAACGAAAGUCUGAAGCAGCCAAGUAGCGUGAAGGAUGACUGCCCUCUGGGUUGUAAACUUCUUUUAUAUGGGAAUAAAAUGUUACACGUGUGGGAUUUUGUAUGUACCAUAUCAUUAAGGAUCGGCUAAAUCCGUGCCAGCAGCCGCGGUAAUACGGAGGAUCCGAGCGUUAUCCGGAUUUAUUGGGUUUAAAGGGAGCGUAGGGGGAUUGUUAAGUCAGUUGUGAAAGUUUGCGGCUCAACCGUAAAAUUGCAGUUGAAACUGGCAGUCUUGAGUACAGUAGAGGUGGGCGGAAUUCGUGGUGUAGCGGUGAAAUGCUUAGAUAUAACGAAGAACUCCGAUUGCGAAGGCAGUUCACUGGACUGCAACUGACACUGAGGCUCGAAAGUGUGGGUAUCAAACAGGAUUAGAUACCCCGGUAGUC